CUACGUGCCAGCAGCCGCGGUAAUACGGAAGGUCCGGGCGUUAUCCGGAUUUAUUGGGUUUAAAGGGAGUGUAGGCGGUCUGUUAAGCGUGUUGUGAAAUUUAGGUGCUCAACAUUUAACUUGCAGCGCGAACUGUCAGACUUGAGUACACGCAGCGCAGGCGGAAUUCAUGGUGUAGCGGUGAAAUGCUUAGAUAUCAUGAGGAACUCCGAUCGCGAAGGCAGCCUGCGGGAGUGUUACUGACGCUUAAGCUCGAAGGUGCGGGUAUCGAACAGGAUUAGAUACCCUGGUAGUCCGCACGGUAAACGAUGGAUGCCCGCCGUUGGCGCCCUGCGCCUGCGGCCAAGCGAAAGCAUUAAGCAUCCCACCUGGGGAGUACGCCGGCAACGGUGAAACUCAAAGGAAUUGACGGGGGCCCGCACAAGCGGAGGAACAUGUGGUUUAAUUCGAUGAUACGCGAGGAACCUUACCCGGGCUUGAA
rnacentral:rRNA from 1 species